AGCGAACGCUGGCGGCAGGCUUAACACAUGCAAGUCGAGCGGGCAUAGCAAUAUGUCAGCGGCAGACGGGUGAGUAACGCGUGGGAACGUACCUUUUGGUUCGGAACAACACAGGGAAACUUGUGCUAAUACCGGAUAAGCCCUUACGGGGAAAGAUUUAUCGCCGAAAGAUCGGCCCGCGUCUGAUUAGCUAGUUGGUGAGGUAAUGGCUCACCAAGGCGACGAUCAGUAGCUGGUCUGAGAGGAUGAUCAGCCACAUUGGGACUGAGACACGGCCCAAACCCCUCCGGAGGCAGCAGUGGGGAAUAUUGGACAAUGGGCGCAAGCCUGAUCCAGCCAUGCCGCGUGAGUGAUGAAGGCCCUAGGGUUGUAAAGCUCUUUUGUGCGGGAAGAUAAUGACGGUACCGCAAGAAUAAGCCCCGGCUAACUUCGUG
rnacentral:rRNA from 1 species